GAGACACCCUGUGUGAAAAUGAAGUUAGAGUAGAAAGCAGAGUGGAGUGAGAGAGAGGGAAAAUGAGAGUCUGGUGUAGGAUUUAAUUUAUUCAUCCUGCUGUGCCUCUUGGACUUCUAUCUUCUCUCCUGUAUUCUUAGGGAAGGUCAACAUCCCUGGUACCAGGAUCUCUCCAGCCCAGCCCUUGAAAGAUCCAUUCUCUAAAGCAUAGACAACAGUAGGACUGAAUAAGGAAAAUAUGUGGAUUCUGAUCACCACGCAGCUCCUGCCUCUGCUGCUCCUGAUGCUGCAGCCACUGCAGUUUGAAAAGCUUUUUAAAUAUUCUGAUUUAUCAGAUGUUGACUCAGAAGAAUUUGAAGAUUAUUUGGAGGAAUUAUACAGUACAGGGCCUACCAAAGCACCUACCAAAAAAACUUUCCAAAAUCAGGUCCUUGCUGAUCCUGACAGACCAUUAUCUGAUCCACAUUACUGCAAUGAUGAAGUUAGGAUGAAAAAUGUUCACAACAGGUUAUAUUGUAAGAAAGAACAUUUCUUCCUCCAAGCUACAUAUGAGGAGGUGCAAAAGAUAUGUCGCCACCUGUUUGUACCAUGCAAACGCAGCGUGGGCUAGGUUCACAGAUAGUGCUCUGAGAUGUGGUUUCAAACAGGUCAUGUAAUUUAGCACAUUUUGGAUGUCUUAUGAGAAUGAAUGCCUGCAGUGAAAGGAUGACCAGCAGCAAAAGGAACAGAAUAUGGUUGCCUGAAUUGUGAUGUAAAGUUGUAUUCAUAGGAAUCUCUAGUUCGGUAGAAAUAAUAAAGGGCACUGACCUAGUGAAGUGUCUCUGGUA
rnacentral:lncRNA from 1 species